rnacentral:lncRNA from 1 species
UAAAAAUUUAAAAACAAUUUAAAAAAUGAAAGCAAUGAGUUUGCUACUAUUACGUGUGUUCCCCAGGUGGAAUUUGUGGAUUACGUGUUCCACGGGGAGCGGGGCCGGCGGGAGACGGCGAACCUGGAGCUGCUGCUGCAGCGCUGCAGUGAGGUGCAGCACUGGGUGGGCACGGAGCUGCUGCUCUGCGAGGCGCUGGGCAAGCGCGCCCACCUGCUCAAGAAGCUCAUCAAGAUCGCUGCCAUCUGCAAGCAGAACCAGGACAUGCUCUCCUUCUACGCCAUCGUCAUCGGCCUCAACAACGCCGCCAUCAGCCGCCUGCGCCUCACCUGGGAGAAGCUCCCAGGGAAAUUCAAGAAUCUGUUUCGGAAGUUUGAGAACCUGACGGUGGGUGAGAGGUGUGGGGGCUGCUGUGGGUGUUGGGAGGGGGGUCCUCAGGCCUCCCCUGGGGGUUUUGGGGUGCUGGUGAGCAGGGGACGUACCCAAGGUGUCCUGGGGUGUCCUGGGGUGUCCUUGCCCCUCUCCCCCAGGCCACCAGCCCCACACCCAUGGCCACCAGCAUGGUGGGGGGGAGAAUCCAGGGCAUCCC